AACGAACGCUGGCGGCAUGCCUAACACAUGCAAGUCGAACGAGACCUUCGGGUCUAGUGGCGCACGGGUGCGUAACGCGUGGGAAUCUGCCCCUCGGUUCGGAAUAACAGUGAGAAAUUACUGCUAAUACCGGAUGAUGACUUCGGUCCAAAGAUUUAUCGCCGUGGGAUGAGCCCGCGUAGGAUUAGGUAGUUGGUGGGGUAAUGGCCUACCAAGCCGACGAUCCUUAGCUGGUCUGAGAGGAUGAUCAGCCACACUGGGACUGAGACACGGCCCAGACUCCUACGGGAGGCAGCAGUGGGGAAUAUUGGACAAUGGGCGAAAGCCUGAUCCAGCAAUGCCGCGUGAGUGAUGAAGGCCUUAGGGUUGUAAAGCUCUUUUACCAGGGAUGAUAAUGACAGUACCUGGAGAAUAAGCUCCGGCUAACUCCGUGCCAGCCGCCGCCGUAAUAC
rnacentral:rRNA from 1 species